rnacentral:rRNA from 1 species
AGGAAUUGGCGGGGGAGCACCGCAACGGGAGGAACGUGCGGUUUAAUUGGAUUCAACACCGGAAAACUCACCAGCAGCGACUAUUACAUGAAAGUCAGGCCGAUGACCUUACUAGAUUUUUAGAGAGGUGGUGCAUGGCCGUCGUCAGUUCGUACUGUAAGGCGUUCUCUUAAGUGAGAUAACGAACGAGACCCUCACCAAUAAUUGCUACUGCGUCGUCCGCGGCGUAGGCACAUUAUUGGGACCGCUGGCGCUAAGUCAGAGGAAGGAGAGGUCAACGGUAGGUCAGUAUGCCCCGAAUCUGCUGGGCUACACGCGCGUUACAAAGGGCAGGACAAUGGGCUCCGACACCGAAAGGUGAAGGUAAUCUCGAAACCCGUCCGUAGUUCGGAUUGAGGGUUGUAACUCACCCUCAUGAAGCUGGAUUCCAUAGUAAUCGCGAAUCAACAACUCGCGGUGAAUAUGCCCCUGCUCCUUGCACACACCGC